UAAAGUGGUAUCGGUGCCAUUGUAUCAGAGCCGUUUUGCGAGCACGAGUACAUGAGCACAGUAUCGGACCCGAUACCCAGUACUGGUAUCGGUGCAUCCCUAGAUUAAAGUGAUUAUGAAAGCAUUUACAGACAAAUGUUCCCUGAUUAUUCUUGCUCCAUGACCUUCCCCAAUACAAAUGAAUUAUUAAACCUUUCAUGACUCUUUUCCCCAGCCACGGUGACCCACAGCCAACCUUCAGCCACCUUGCUCCAGGGCUCCGGUGAACUUGUGUGCCUGGUCUUUGGCUUCAGCCCUGCAGCCAUUAACAUCACUUGGUUUCUCGAUGACACCAAAGAACUGUCGGACUACGACACUAGUGAACCCCACAGAGGCCCGAACGGAACGUUCAGCAUUCAAAGCCGCCUUCAUCUGUCCCGAGUCAUCUGGUUACCUGGAGCCAACCUCACCUGCAGGGUGACACAUGCAAACACCACGAUAUCCCUGGACAUAUCCAAACCAGACACCUUGGAGGACUGUAAUUUCUUAGAUUACAUCAUGCAUAAUGACGUGAACCAAGACACAGGUGUGGAAAGCUCGUAUAUGACUUUCACUUUCCUCGUUCUUUUCCUCAUCUCCAUCAUCUACGGUGUCUUGGCGACCAUGAUGAAGACCAAAUGAUGAUGAUCCCAGGACCUAUCCCAUUUUAUCAUCCAAAUGUGGACUUUUGAGGGUUUUUGAUGUCAUGUGGCCUCACUAGUUUUAAAGUGUAAUUCAUUAAUUUGUGUUUCUUUUUUUAAUAUAUAUAUAUAUAUAUUUCUAUUAUUAUAUGUUACGGAACUGGUUUAUUCAUUUCUUUUUAAUUUUUCAGUUAUAUAUAUUUGGUGUGGCAUGUAGGCUAUGUAGUAGUUCUUGUGUGUAAGAGGAAACGAGACAACAAUAAAUAAAUAAAAGCUUUAAAGCAUGACUUUUGAGAUUCAAAUACCAAUGUAAUGAACAUAUAUUGCAGUUAGAAAAAUAAAGAUUCAAUUAUGGAAAACACA